UUAAGCUUUGAGCCAUUUACUCUUUUCCAUCAGCAGCACGGAGUGAGCCAAGUUGAACCGGUGCUUGAGUCCCAACCACGUUUGAUGAUCCAUAAAGCGACACAUCACUGCCUUUGGCUUUCUCUUUCUCAAUCUGUUCCUUUAUCCAGAAUCUCAUUGUUGGAGCCCAACCAAGCUUCUCUUUGAUCAGAUUGUUGUCUGAGUUACGGCCACGAACACCUUCUGGUCCUGGAAUGUGGUGAAUCGGUAGCUUCUUUUCCUCAAAGCUGAGAACCAUCUCUGCCAUCUCAUUCAUGCUCACCAUCUCAUCGCUUCCUAUGUUCACCGGCUCACGGAAAUCUGAUUUUGUCAACCUAAACACACAACCAUGAGGAAGAUUAAUACUACGUUGUAACAUUCAAAUUAAUGUUCAAAGAAAUAGCUAUGCGGUAGUUACACAAUUUAUAUGAAAUUUAUUGAUUAGAGAGGCACCUAAAGUGAUUUUGAGCA